rnacentral:lncRNA from 1 species
CUCAUCAUGUAUAAAAUGGUGCAGUAGGAUGCAAAAUUUCCACUUGUUUAUAAGUGUAUCGCCGAGAAAUGUAUAAAAUAAUCGAGACCGGCGGAGGCAGGUCAGAGCCGUCUGGAAUGCGCGCACCUUCAACGUCCGCCUUUAGCGAUGGUUUGGGAACCCGGGCGCUGGAAAGGCGCGGGUGCGGAGGGCGGCUGAGCCGCGCGGCUGCGGCACCGUGGGCGCGAGACCCCUGCGGAGAGGAGCGCGCGGACGCCGGGGGAAGCGCCUCGGGGCGGCUGGAGGCGCAGCACCCUGGGGGAGCCGGGGCGCGGGAGAGACAAAACUGUUCGAACCUUCUCUCCCUUCCCCACCCCCAGCGCCCAAACCCGGGGCGGGUGAGCGCGACCCUUGCAGCGACCCCUUGCCGAGCCCUGCCCGCGCGAUUACUAAGGAGACGCGGCCUCCGGCACUGCCGUCCCCGCGCCGUUUGAAAACGGAUCCAUCAGCGGGGUAUUUGGAGAUUAUUCGCACUGAAUUUUCUGCCCGCCAAGAACGAAUAGGAUUGCCAAGCCACACCACUUUUUGGAGCCCGCUUAUUCGCGCCUAUCCACCCUCUCCUGUGCCCCAGGUUCCCUGAGCACGGGAAUCCUUUCCGGGCAUGGCCAAGUUUGUUCGGUGGCUCAGAGCGGGAAGGGAAGUGCAGUUCGACACCUGUCCAGCUGCUCCGCUUGGAGAUCAAAGGCCGGCUAUGGGCUGAGCGACAGAUUUACGGGACGGUGGUACAGAUUAAGGCGAGAACCCUGCCGGUCCUGGACUCGAGUUCGCACCCAAGGAAAGCGUACAGGUCCCUGGAAGCGGGUGGAUGUCGGAGAGGCCGAGGCAGCCUGCGCUGUGGCCAGGCAGGCUUGGUGGGCUUUAGUCUCAGUAUGUGUUCUUUAAAGUCUUGACAGGUUAUUAGUAAAGGAAGGGGCACCCCAGGGUCAUGAAGAUGCUUCUCGCUCUGGCCCAAGCAUGCUGAGGCUCGCUUAUUCCUCGGCCAGGCCCAGUAAAACAGCUCAAGCACAGCCUGGAGUCUUCCCGCAUCUGCGCGGGAGUAGAGUCUGGCUUUGGGCCCCGCGUACCCCGCAGUCGUCGGGGACCAGUUCGAGGCCACGGGAAGGGUUUCCGCGGCAGGGCGCGGAGUAAAGAGGGGAAGAAGGAAUCCUCUCCGCGUGAUCAGUAGGGCGGGCUUGUGAUACUCUCACACCCAGGUUCCAGCUCAGCCCCCAAACUGCUGCCCCAAGAAAACAAGUUGGGGAGUGUGGAUUUAGACAUAACAACGGGUGUGAGCUGAUGUCCUUACAACCAAAAAUAUUGAGACUAGAAAUUCAGCUCCGAAUCCACGACCCUCAGAUUGAUGCUUAAUCGCACCCUCGACUCCAGAAAAGCUGCCGGGGACAGACAUGGACAGGUUUUGCCAAGGGUUCAUUAAAAUAGUCUGCACUGGAAUAACCGGGGUGCAAGAGAUCACGUCUUCACUCAGGGCUUUGGGGAUCCCCUCGUCGCCCCAGGUCAGUGGGUGGGGAGGAGGGCAAACUUCUGUCUUUUGUUUGUGGGUGAGGGAUGCGAAUUGUGGCAGCAGCCGAGAAAAGGGGGGAAAUUAAUUGCAGCCAAUUAAUAAUUAAUCCCCUUUAAACAGCUUUAUUAUCUCUUCUGGGCGACAGAGAUUUGUCUGAUAACCCCCUGAAGACCAAAUGUCAAGUUUAACCAAAUAGUUAUUGCUUUAUCAACCCGAGUCUGCAAAUAAAUUAAUCAAAAGCAAGCACUUUGGGAGGCCGAGGCAGGUGGAUCACCUCAGGUCAGGAGUUCGAGACCAGCGUGACCAACAUGGUGAAACCCGUCUCUACUAAAAAUACAAAAAAUUAGAUGGGUAUGGUGGCGCGUGCCUGUCUGCUACUCGGGAGGCUGAGGCAGGAGAACCUUGGAGGCAAAGGUUGCAGUGAGCUGAGAUCAAGCCACCGCACUCCAGCCUGGGCGACAGCGCAAAACUUUGUCUCAAAAAAAAAAAAAAAAAAAAGUCCGCAGUAUGGUUUUCACAUUAUCACUCUCAAUGCCAUUGGAGGUAGGUCCAAGCUGGUGUCUCUUUGAUUAGUCUCCCUAAACCCAUCUAUUCAUUUACUAGCCAUUAGUUAUUCUUUAAUUGAGUCCAAAAAUGUUUGUGAGGAGAUAGUCCCAUAUGAGAUUAAAAGAAAGAAAGAAAACAAAACAACAAACAAACAAACAAAACAGAAAAUCAGGUGUAGUGGACACUGAAGAGUUUCUGGAACAAUGCCAACAUUGAAGUCCUCGGUUGGAGUCUGCACAGUUGGAGAUCUUUGGUGCCAUUUUAGACAUCUUUGGAUUUCAUCAAUCAAACUGACUGCAAUUUUCCAUAAAAACCCUGAAUUUGGGUCAGAAAGUGGGCAAAGUAGAUAAAGAUCAUUCGAGCUGUCUUAUAAGAUGAUAAAUAGAUAUCCUUUCAGGCCAACAAUGCCAAAGUGCAGUUUUGUGAUUCCCUUCCAUGGGUUCUGAAUGCAGUGAGUCGAAACGAUUUCUACAUGUUUUCCCAUGGUUUAGGAGGUGUCUUUACAUACUUGUCAAUAGUAGCCUGACCUUUUUCCCCAUGGAGUUGCUAAGUGUGUUUUGUUUGUUGCUUUGAGUACUUUUUUCUUGUUGUUUGUGUGUGUGUUGCACAAAAUACACAAGAAAAUAAAGGUUUUU